AGCAACCAAAAAUUAAGAAAAAGCAGUGUUGUCAGUGCUGUCUUCUACAGCAGAAAAUGGUCCAUCAUCUUCAGGAAUUUACCAUAGAGCAAUGGAAUACAGAAAUUAUGUAAAAGAGACCUGCA